rnacentral:tRNA from 1 species
GCCCCCGUAGCUCAACGGAUAGAGCGACAGACUUCUAAUCUGCAGGUUGUGAGUUCGAUUCUCGCCGGGGGCG